rnacentral:rRNA from 1 species
UCGAAACCUGCCCAGCAGAGCGACCCGUGAACACGUUCAACCUCAUGGGUGUUGGGGCGUUGCUCGGUGCCUUGUGUGCCUGCUCGUCCCUCUCCCAAGCCGGGGGAGCGCUCACUUGUGGGCUGUUUCCCCGGCAAAAAAACGAACCCCGGCGCGUAAUGCGUCAAGGAAUACAAACUUAAUGUGUGUACUCUCCCAUUGCCCGGUUAGCCGGGCGUUGGAGCGGUGCCAUGUCUUAACAAUA